ACUCGGUCGAAAAGCUUUUUAUAAAUCGCCCCUGACCUUAUUUUAGGAUUUUCCUCUUAACUCUCUCUUCUCUUUCUUUUUUUUUUUCUUUCCUCUCCCUUCUCUCUUCUCUUUCUUUUUUUUCUUUCCUCUCCCCUCCUUUCCUCUCCAACAACGGUUCGCCGAGGACGGCAUCAGUAGUGGGCAGGGGACGAUGCUAACAAUGGCAGCAGACGCGUUAAUUUCUUGUGUGUAGCAGAACUCAAACGGAUCCAGCGACACUCAGUGGUACUCCUGGCGCGAUAGCAAGGAGGCGAAAUGAUGCGUAUUACAACAGAGGAGUGGUAAACUUUGCUUGCCGAGUUGCACUUAGCCGUUGGAGUUAGUUUUUAAAGAAGGAGAAGUCUAGUUCUGUCAUUAGCACUUAAGUUUUAGUGUUUUUACUUUACAAGUUUUUAGCAUUACAAUUUAGUCACUGGACAUUUAGCUGUCGAGCAGAUUCCAUCCUCUGCCAAUACAGUUAUUGGCAGGACAGCUGGGCAGAGGAGCUCGUACUAUUCCUUACUCAGCACUCUUAUCCUUUUUAUGAUUUCAUCACCUAUAUCUAUUGUAAUAGUUUCUAAGGUUUGUUAUCAAUGAAAAUCUCCUAGUUUAAUUUAGCAUAGGUUAGCUAGUUUUCCUCUUCUCUUCCAAAUAUUACAUUGUUCCAUUGUUGCUGCA